GACGAACGCUGGCGGCGUGCCUAAUACAUGCAAGUCGAGCGGACUUUCAAGAAGCUUGCUUUUUGAAAGUUAGCGGCGGACGGGUGAGUAACACGUGGGCAACCUGCCUGCAAGACGGGGAUAACUCCGGGAAACCGGGGCUAAUACCGGAUAAUAUCUUCCUUCGCAUGAAGGAAGGUUGAAAGGCGGCGCAAGCUGCCGCUUGCAGAUGGGCCCGCGGCGCAUUAGCUAGUUGGUGAGGUAACGGCUCACCAAGGCGACGAUGCGUAGCCGACCUGAGAGGGUGAUCGGCCACACUGGAACUGAGACACGGCCCAGACUCCUACGGGAGGCAGCAGUAGGGAAUCUUCCGCAAUGGACGAAAGUCUGACGGAGCAACGCCGCGUGAGCGAAGAAGGUCUUCGGAUCGUAAAGCUCUGUUGUCAGGGAAGAACAAGUACCGUUCGAACAGGGCGGUACCUUGACGGUACCUGACCAGAAAACACGGCUAACUACGUG
rnacentral:rRNA from 1 species